UUAGCUGCAGCAUGUUCAGAGAGAGUUGAGACAUAUCGAUGAUGGUAUCAGAGUUCUCGUCUCUCUGAAACAGUGCUCUGCUCUUUGUACCUGAUCCUUCUCCAGCAACACGUUCCAGUUCUUCUGUUCCACCAAUGACAGUGUGGUGGCCUCCGGCAACGAGACCCUGUAGUUCAAAUCGCCGAGCAGAAUGACUCGACUGCAUAAUGUCAAACAGUGAUGUGAUCAAGUGAAGGAUGAGGGAGGAAGCAUGUCCGGGAGAAGAUCUCCAUCGCGUCUGAGUUCCUGUGCAGCUCGUCUCCUUCUUUUCCUCCUGAAGCCAAAUGGCAGCACACGACGCAGAAGCUCGUCUCGUGCAAGCAGAAUCUCACCGAGAUCGAACCCUGAAGAAGGAGAAGAAGAAUCUCCAGAAACUGUAGGAUCUUUGCAUCAGAUUUCGUGAUCCAUGCUAUUGAUCAGAGCAACCCACCUUGUUCCCAAGGCAGCCCAUGAGGCCGCAGCCAACGCAGCAGACGCCGGCAUGGCGGAUGCAGCGGCGGAUGUCGGCUCUCACCCAGACUGAGACCAGGAUUCCCACCAUCUGCUUGCUGAGGAUGCAGUGGAAGUUUCGUGCAGUGCCUUCACCGACUGGAUGCACUCUCUGCUCCCCCAUCUUGGCCUCUCGUCGACCUUCCGAGAAGGAGGAGGACCUGUUCAGUGCUGCUCCGAUGAGCGAGUUCCACUUUGCAGCGACUCUGGUCUUCUCCGGCCCGAACACAUUCUUGGCACUGAGGGGGACGAUCUCUUGGAACCUUCCGAAGAGAACGAUCGAUGUCAUCUAAUGCAGGAAAGCACGUUGCCGAACGAAUUGGCGAAUUGGUUACCCGAGAACGUAGAUGUCAUAGGACGCAUUUCUUGUGUGCAACCAAUCCUCCAGGUUCAGACCAUCCGAUGGUGGCGCCAUGCCGCCGACGUUCCAAGUACUAGCAAACAGCCUUGGAAAGAGAAGAGAGAAAGCAUCCGCAUCCAUCAGUGAUCGAAAGCCAGCAUGUACUUGAGAAGGAAGAUGAGAUCGAUUGAUCCGAAACAUACUUGUAAUUUCGUGUUUCCUUUCCAUCGUCGCAUGAUCUUUGUAAGUUGAUGAUCUCGUCCCAGUUUGAUGUAGCGGUGGUGGUGGUGGGAAAGUCUGCAGCAGCAGAAGAGUUGCUGCUCGACAACCUGUGGAGCAGCUUGCUCGCCACCAGUCUUGGCCACAUGACACAACUGAAGGGGAGGAAGAAGAGAAGCUCACUCACCGCCUGCUCUUUGUUGUGGGCAAGGAGAAGAGAUGGAGAGGUGAAGCUGCGUGUGUAAGCCUGGAAGAGCUAAAAAGAUGGAGGGUGUGACAAGUUGGAAAGGGUGGAUAAGGCAGCGGUGAUUGGACCAGUACAAGAUGAUGAUGCUGCUGCAUGGGAAGCUUCAUUGAUUCAAGACAUGCAACACUCCUUUAGGUAUGCUUGUGGGGCAGAAAAAGUGCACAAAGUGGAGAAAACAUUCCGCCAUGGCUCUCACUGUCAAUGCUCAGCAGACUCUUCACCACUGCAACCUCGUAGACUUCUCACCCACAGAAUCAUCACCGAAUUCAAAUAAUUAAGGUGUUCGAUCGAAUCUUACCUUUGUCGUCUCGGUUAUCAGAUUUUUGCUAUCCUUUCAGGAGCAAGUUUAGGUAAACUUGCAUUAACCAUGACUUUUUCCUCCUCCAAUUUUGUUUCCCUUUGAUAGAGAAGGCAUCUUUUGGAGGCCAUUAA